UUUAUCUUUCCCCCAAAUCAGAAGCACAACACAUCCUAGAAUUACAAAAACAGUAUACAUAAGUCAGUUUCUCUACAAAUAUAAACAUCAUUUCCCUGAAUUCCAAUUCCUAGAUCUAAUUAGAAUCUUUAAACAAGAUGAAGUACUACUGGUUCUUAGUAUCUUUCAUGUAUUUCAACAAGAUUAACCCUGGAUCACUAUUCUAUCAACUCCUUUUUCCUUGAGACAAAUCUCACAAACUCGUCCUAAGCCAAUUGUCCAUCAUGCAAAUCACCAAUGGGAUGAACAAAUUGGAUGAUGCGACGAUGCAGUUGGAGCUUGUGACAAAUUGCAUACCAAUGAGGAUAUCUAUCUACAUUAAGAAAGAAUGACUGGUUAGAGAGCAACUGUACUGUACAAAAAUUUGUAAAGGUUAAAAGGCUCUAACAUGCUCUAGUUCUAGUAACUCUACUAGAAUAACAGAGUUCAAGCAAGAUUGGGUUGAUUCGUAGAUGUAGAUCUGCAAAAUGCCAAGAGAUAGACAAUCUAAAGAACCAAAUAAAGACAAAGAUAGGAAAUACAUGGAGUUUGAGAAGCUAAUGAUGAAGCAAGUAUACUCGAUGAUGUGAAAUAAGAGCAACUUUUCGGACCUCCAAAGCAACUGCACAAACUUUAAGAGCAUCCACGCAGACAGUGAGAGCUUCUGUACAGAUCUCCUGAUGGAGAUCGUCUCUGAAUGGAGAAGUACGAAGAUUUAAGGCUCACUGAAAAAGGGGAAUGCCAUAUACUACAAAGCUUACCCAACUACAGAGCCUGACACUGAUUGAGGAAAACAUUCAGAGACUAACUCUGGUAGCAAAAGAUGGAGCUUAUAUUUGGAAGAAAGAGUAGUUUGAGUAGUUACUCAAUCGAAGUUUCAACUGCAAUCAGUCCAAAAGCAACUCCAAUCAACAUUGAAGAAGAAAAGGCUGCUUGGAGUCCGGGAACACCAGAUCAAGAUACCUCUUGCAAUGUCAUUGUUGAACCUUCAUAAUACAAAAAGUUGGCUAUAAUUGAAUUAAACUGAAAGGUCCAUGAGCUGCAAGCGGAGAAGAGCUUAGAAAACCCCAAACAACCAGUGUUUAAAGAAAUUUAACAAGUUGCAGCUACAACACUGAUUAAUGCAAUAGACGUGCAAUUGGUUCUCUUCAAGACAACGAGGAUUCUGCACUUGGAAAAGUGGUGACCAGAAUGGAGUUUGUUUCUUUCUGUUGGAAGAAACCUGAUUCUUUAUAUGAGACAAUAGCCCGAUAUUUUUCCCAAUUAUUUGAUUGACGAAUUGAGUUUGAACUGUCAGCGUGUAGAAUAUGUCAAGAUUAUUCUGUACCAACUGGUUUCGUAUGUGAUUGUAAAGACAUGUUAAGCAUGUGUUCGAACUAUCAGAAUUAAGGUGCAUGAAGGAGCAGUCCCGUUCUGGCUGCAUCUCAACCUAUUAAAAUGCUAGUCAGGACUAUACUGUGCAUCAGUAAAGCUUUAUGCAGUCCUCCGUUUAAUAUCAAGCUUAUAUGAACAUAUGUAAUUGGUGUGCAUGAUUUCAGAAGAAAACCAGCAAGGCCAAUGGCCAGAUUUCAGAAGGUUACAUAGCACAAUUGAGGGAACAAGCUGGGUUAGAUGAGAAUUAUGAUGCGUUGAUGAUCUUGAUGCAAUCCCAGCUCAUUAGGAGACCUUACUUUGUAGAAGGUCAGGUACUAGAAACUCCAGUGUAUAUGGUGGUGUUCAAACGCCGGAUGCAGUCGACAAUGUCAGUGGAGAAGGGGAAGUUCUCUUGCACAUACAGUCGAAGCACCAGACUGACUAGCAGUUUUUGUAUGCAAAUCACUGCACCUUUUUGGACCAAACUACAUCAAUAAGGAUACAGUAAAGUAUUAAUGUGUUCGAGACGGAGUUGGAUUGUGAUCUGGCUGAGGAGGACCUUCUUUCACUCAUACAGUGGAAGAACACAAAAAGACGACAUAUUGAUAUUUCCUCUCAAAAGUACUAGAAACACCAGUACAUAGUGGUAUGCCGACGCCCAUACCCGAUCGAGCUUGGAAUCCUUAUGCACUGCUCCAGCAAGGGAAACCAGCCCACAAUGUUAGUGGGGAAGGGGCAGUCCUCUUGCAUGUACAAUUGAAGCAGCAGCACCGACUGCAGGUUUAUGUUGAGAGUAGGGGUAAAUGGGUAAUCAGAAUGAAGUUGGUACCAGUGGGAAAAGAAUAAGAAGCAGGGAUAGCAUCUGGUAGUAUAGUACACAGGCUAAGUCAAUUUUGUAUAUGGUCACUGCAUUCUUUUUGGACUAAAGACAUUAUCAAAGAUUCAUCAAUCUUAUUCUUCUUUUUCAAUUUCUUGUAUUCUUUUGACUGUUGCAAACAUCUUUACUUCCCAGCUUUUUUAUCUCGUCAAAAUUUGAUGUAAUCAAUUUUAUUGUUUUAAUACAGUUUUUCUUGGUUA